GUUAUUUCGAUCACUCUUGGCCCAGCGUCGUCCGGGUAACGGUUUGGCUGGGGUAGUUUACUGACUUGCCUAGUUAAACGUUAGAUAUUUUUUUAUAUAUAAAAAACUCAUUCCCUCCCAAACUAAAAGGAGAAAUCAAUAUUUUUUCUGGUAGGCACAAUCUACCUGGCACUCCUACAAGCAAGUCAAAACCGUUACACCCUACCCUACCUGAUUGCUUCAACCAAAUGUAAGGCCUGGCCGAAACCGGAAAUUAGAAAUAGCUUCCUUUGUUAGUAAACCCAUUAGCUGCUCCUCUCUGUCUGUCAUUCGAUCGCUCCCUUGUGUGCAGGCAGCUCCCUCUGCAUAGACUCUACUCAUGGUGGCUGAGCAAUCACGUUCACGUUGUCUUGCUGCGUCACGCGGUUGCUAAAAUAAUCGUCAAUCAAUCCCUUUUCAAAGUCAGGGUAUGAGUCGAGAAACGUUCCUAUUUUUCUGUGCCCAAUUGACGACCAUUCACUCCUUGGAGGAAAGCUCUCCUUGUCAUAAGAAUCGCCCAGAAUGCAUGCCCAUUGACGUGUGGUCCUUCUGUAGCUCAGUUGGUAGAGCAUGGUGCUUGUAACGCCAGGGUAGUAGGUUCGAUUCCCGGGACCACCCAUACGUAGAAUGUAUGCACACAUGACUGUAAGUCGCUUUGGAUAAAAGCGUUUGCUAAAUGGCAUAUAUUAUUAUUAUAUUACGUAGAAUGGGCAACGUACAUAAAUACGAUUCUAAUUGAGUUUCCCCAUCUCCUCAAAAUUAUCUCUGGCUCUGCUCAACAAACAAAGAAACAUGAGAGAGCACUUAGCUGUUAGCUACUGUCAUGACUGUCCUGUGAGGAUCCAAUAGGUCAGAUCAGCUUUGCAAUAAAUAACUUCAACCAGACUUCCUCUCACCGGCAGAGGGGCGAGGGAGGGAACUGGUGAGGGUUAACACCUCAUGCCCUGUUGUAAAUCAAGGAGAGAAGAUUCAGGUCUCCCUCUCCAAUGUUCACCAGAAGAAUGUGCCUUUGUUUCACAGACUUUUCCCACCGAAACUCGUAACACAUUCUAAAGCGAUCUACUGGAACAAUGUUUCUAAAAGAACAUGGGAAAUGGUCAGAGGCGAUCUAAAGAACACUAAUGACAUUUCGGUUGUUAUUUUGUGAUGUCAUUAAAAAUGUUAAGGAAAUACUGUAACUUGGAAAGUAACUCAAUAAAAUCUUGGAAAUUGU